GGGAGGUGUUAAUUGCUGUGCUAAUUACAACAUGAUUGCUUUGCACUUGUUUUGCACUUGCAGGUGAUUAAAUUUUUAACGAAGCAUAUUACUUGGCACUGUUAGCAUAGUUAACACAUUUCUCUCUCUCUCUCUCCCUCUCUCUCUCUUCCUCUCCCCCUCCUUUUUCUAUGCCUUGGGAGAAGUCCUGUGCUGCAGACCCUUGGCUGGCUGCGAUGUGCUGUUGUGCUUGGAACGAGCCCCUGUUUGGGCUGUGGGUGGCGGAACCCCGGGAUCCUCCUCGGAAAGAGCAGCAGCCCGAGUUAUCAUCAGGCUCAGCGUGGCGGCGCCGGCCAGAUGCGAAUGCAGAACCCACCAAGGCCUUCACCUUUCCCGUCACGUUGGCCAUGUGGCCCUGCAGCGGGUCUGUCACACAGGAGUGAACGCGAAGGAUGGGAGAGGACCCUGUGUGCCUGGAGGCUUGUCCCUGCAAAGCUAAAAUGUGUGUGAAUGUGUGUGUGCCCCCUCCAUGGCAGGGGCUGAAGAGGUGAGGAGCAAGUGGGUGGUGUCUGUGAAGUCCUGGGGACUCCAGCAAAACGUCUUCAAUUGCAGGACUGGUUUUUGCUUGGCUUUUCUGUGCCAGCCUUAAAAGAUGUGAAUUGAUAUCACUUUUAACUGGCAGGUUUCAUUAUCUGCAAUUUCAUUAAAAGUGAUACCUGCAGAAUGACCGCUGUUUUAUUUUUUGCUUUAAUGGGUUCAAUUCUAUCUGCAGCAAACCUUGCCAUUCUCCACCCCCCCCCCACACUUUCCAAACUUCAUAUUCUAGUCUAUUACUCACUGUCUGUCUGGCCCCUAUCGCAUUUGACUGCAGAUGUCAUAACAGAAAAGAGAUGAACAGGCAGCUCUUACUUCCUGAUAAAUUAAUGUGCUGCAGUCUAAUCCAUAUCCCAAAUGAUAAAGUUAACAACAGUUUGCAAGCCUGUCACAUAAUCUAAAAAAUUCAGAUGGAUAUUUUUGCCCCUUGUGUGGGAGGAAAAACCUGUUUCAGGGAUGAACAGUUACUAAUACAU
rnacentral:lncRNA from 1 species